AAAUUGAAGAGUUUGAUCAUGGCUCAGAUUGAACGCUGGCGGCAGGCCUAACACAUGCAAGUCGAGCGGUAGCACAGAGAGCUUGCUCUCGGGUGACGAGCGGCGGACGGGUGAGUAAUGUCUGGGAAACUGCCUGAUGGAGGGGGAUAACUACUGGAAACGGUAGCUAAUACCGCAUAACGUCGCAAGACCAAAGUGGGGGACCUUCGGGCCUCAUGCCAUCAGAUGUGCCCAGAUGGGAUUAGCUAGUAGGUGGGGUAACGGCUCACCUAGGCGACGAUCCCUAGCUGGUCUGAGAGGAUGACCAGCCACACUGGAACUGAGACACGGUCCAGACUCCUACGGGAGGCAGCAGUGGGGAAUAUUGCACAAUGGGCGCAAGCCUGAUGCAGCCAUGCCGCGUGUGUGAAGAAGGCCUUCGGGUUGUAAAGCACUUUCAGCGGGGAGGAAGGCGUUAAGGUUAAUAACCUCAUCGAUUGACGUUACCCGCAGAAGAAGCACCGGCUAACUCCGUGCCAGCAGCCGCGGUAAUACGGAGGGUGCAAGCGUUAAUCGGAAUUACUGGGCGUAAAGCGCACGCAGGCGGUCUGUCAAGUCGGAUGUGAAAUCCCCGGGCUCAACCUGGGAACUGCAUUCGAAACUGGCAGGCUAGAGUCUUGUAGAGGGGGGUAGAAUUCCAGGUGUAGCGGUGAAAUGCGUAGAGAUCUGGAGGAAUACCGGUGGCGAAGGCGGCCCCCUGGACAAAGACUGACGCUCAGGUGCGAAAGCGUGGGGAGCAAACAGGAUUAGAUACCCUGGUAGUCCACGCCGUAAACGAUGUCGAUUUGGAGGUUGUGCCCUUGAGGCGUGGCUUCCGGAGCUAACGCGUUAAAUCGACCGCCUGGGGAGUACGGCCGCAAGGUUAAAACUCAAAUGAAUUGACGGGGCCCGCACAAGCGGUGGAGCAUGUGGUUUAAUUCGAUGCAACGCGAAGAACCUUACCUGGUCUUGACAUCCACAGAACUUAGCAGAGAUGCUUUGGUGCCUUCGGGAACUGUGAGACAGGUGCUGCAUGGCUGUCGUCAGCUCGUGUUGUGAAAUGUUGGGUUAAGUCCCGCAACGAGCGCAACCCUUAUCCUUUGUUGCCAGCGGUUCGGCCGGGAACUCAAAGGAGACUGCCAGUGAUAAACUGGAGGAAGGUGGGGAUGACGUCAAGUCAUCAUGGCCCUUACGACCAGGGCUACACACGUGCUACAAUGGCAUAUACAAAGAGAAGCGACCUCGCGAGAGCAAGCGGACCUCAUAAAGUAUGUCGUAGUCCGGAUUGGAGUCUGCAACUCGACUCCAUGAAGUCGGAAUCGCUAGUAAUCGUAGAUCAGAAUGCUACGGUGAAUACGUUCCCGGGCCUUGUACACACCGCCCGUCACACCAUGGGAGUGGGUUGCAAAAGAAGUAGGUAGCUUAACCUUCGGGAGGGCGCUUACCACUUUGUGAUUCAUGACUGGGGUGAAGUCGUAACAAGGUAACCGUAGGGGAACCUGCGGUUGGAUCACCUCCUUACCUUAAAGAA
rnacentral:rRNA from 1 species